CCAGGACUAUCACACUGGGGACCGGCUUCUCUGCUCUCCCUUUAUAGGGGUCGGGGGAAUGAAGGGGCAAGGGUCUUCCGAAGAAAGCGAGAAAGGAACAGGCGCCUUCAAAAGCCCACUUGGCAUGGGUUACAGUAAGAGGUUUCCCCUCCACGUGCCGCUUCAGAGCCAGGCGAGCCAGGAAGGACCAGCGGGCGAGGUGGAAGUCUGCAUUAUCACGAGGAGCUUGGAAAGGAGGUAACACACUCAAGGCAAAUUUCAAGUAACUCAUCCUAGAGGCAGCUGCCUACUCUGCAGCUGUGGUUCUCCACCACAGAGAGAAGAAAAGGGAGGGAGAUGGAGUGUGCAGGUCUGAGAAGGCUUUCAUUCUGGAGCAUCUGCAGGAGCCUGCACCAUGGCCCAGUAGCACCCCUUUUUCUCCAUGAGCUGCUGGUGGGUUCCCCCCUCCCGGAUAGCGCCUCCUUCCAGAAAGAGGAUGUGGUCAGCCUGCUCCACCAGGCUGAGGUGCUGGGUGAUGAGAAGCACUGAGCGGGAGUACCGCUCAGGGCUUUGGUACAGGAGCUGCUCCACCUGAGGAAAGAUAUCGGACCGUCAGAGCUGGGGACUACCCUCAGCCCAGGGAGACACCUGUGUUUCCAGGGCUGGGACUGACCUCACAGGAUCACUGCUGGCUCUGCUAACAACCCCAAGGACACCAACGUUUCCCAUUCUGAGUACUUCUCCGCAAACCCUUUGUUUCAUUAAGGACUGUUUUACAUGAAGGUGCAAAAGUAGGAUAAAAAUGAGAGUCCUAGGGUGAAACACGUGACAGAAGAAUAAAGACUAUUGAAUAGUCCUCUUCUCUACCCAUGGACUUGGAAUUUUUAUAUUUGAUUUUAAGGAAAUAUAACUUAGUAGUAAAGAGAUGAGCAUUCAAGUCAGGCAGACCUGAGUUUGGAUCAAGGCUGCGCCACUCAAAAGCUAUAUGACCUCUAUACGAGCAGCUUAUUCAACC
rnacentral:lncRNA from 1 species